AGUGAACGCUGGCGGUAGGCCUAACACAUGCAAGUCGAACGGCAGCACAGUAAGAGCUUGCUCUUACGGGUGGCGAGUGGCGGACGGGUGAGGAAUACAUCGGAAUCUACUUUUUCGUGGGGGAUAACGUAGGGAAACUUACGCUAAUACCGCAUACGACCUACGGGUGAAAGCAGGGGAUCUUCGGACCUUGCGCGAUUGAAUGAGCCGAUGUCGGAUUAGCUAGUUGGCGGGGUAAAGGCCCACCAAGGCGACGAUCCGUAGCUGGUCUGAGAGGAUGAUCAGCCACACUGGAACUGAGACACGGUCCAGACUCCUACGGGAGGCAGCAGUGGGGAAUAUUGGACAAUGGGCGCAAGCCUGAUCCAGCCAUACCGCGUGGGUGAAGAAGGCCUUCGGGUUGUAAAGCCCUUUUGUUGGGAAAGAAAAGCAGCAGGUUAAGACCCCGCUGUUCUGACGGUACCCAAAGAAUAAGCACCGGAUAACUUCGU
rnacentral:rRNA from 1 species